UGACUGGGGCGGUCGCCUCCUAAAGCGUAACGGAGGCGCGCGAAGGUUGGCUCAGAGCGGUCGGAAAUCGCUCGUUGAGUGCAAUGGCAAAAGCCAGCCUGACUGCGAGACUGACAAGUCGAGCAGAGACGAAAGUCGGCCAUAGUGAUCCGGUGGUCCCGAGUGGAAGGGCCAUCGCUCAACGGAUAAAAGGUACGCCGGGGAUAACAGGCUGAUACUGCCCAAGAGUCCAUAUCGACGGCAGUGUUUGGCACCUCGAUGUCGGCUC
rnacentral:rRNA from 12 species